CAGUAGCCGCGGUAAUACGAAGGGUGCAAGCGUUAAUCGGAAUUACUGGGCGUAAAGCGUGCGUAGGCGGUUUGUUAAGUCUGUUGUGAAAUCCCCGGGCUCAACCUGGGAAUGGCAAUGGAUACUGGCAAGCUAGAGUGUGUCAGAGGAUGGUGGAAUUCCCGGUGUAGCGGUGAAAUGCGUAGAGAUCGGGAGGAACAUCUGUGGCGAAGGCGACUAUCUGGGCCAACACUGACACUGAGGCACGAAAGCGUGGGGAGCAAACAGGAUUAGAUACCCGUGUAGUCCCUGUCUCUUAUAC
rnacentral:rRNA from 1 species